UACAGAUCAAAAAGAUCAAGCUUGGUACCAAAUAGAGCAAUCACUAGAAGAGACAGAUAAUCUGAACGCCCUAUUUUGGGCAACAAGAAAGGAGAAAAAUAAGAGCAAACCAGUAUGUUCAGGAAAUUCGAUUAUUAUUGACAAUAUCUUGAGAUACUGGAAUAAAAUUAAGAAAGACUGUAAAAUAGAAUAUAGAUUGUUUCCAUUCUUACCCAUAGAGGUGAUUAAGGGGAAUAUUGAGGAUAUUAAUAUCAGCGGAUGGUCACAGAAGGGAAUUAAGAAUAUCCAAGAGAUUAUAGAUAGAAAGGAAAUCAAGCCAUUCAACCAGCUACAAACAGAGUUUGGGAUUGAUAACAAG